UCCGAAGUACGGGGCAGACGAUUGGAACAUGACUUGAAUCAGAAGGCCUUUACUACCUUAACUCGCUAAAAUCUCCCAAGGCAUAUGUAGUUACAGAUCCUCCGGACCUAAUUCACAGACGUUUAAGACAUCCAAGCUUAUCCAAGCUUCAGAAGAUGGUACCUAGUUUGUCUAGUUUAUCCACAUUAGUUGACUCGUGCCCUCCAUUGUGGUAUAUAUUUUAUUGAUGAUUUCUUUAUUAUGCAGGUCCGAAGUACGGGGCAGACGAUUGGAACAUGACUUGAAUCAGAAGGCCUUUACUACCUUAACUCGCUAAAAUCUCCCAAGGCAUAUGUAGUUACAGAUCCUCCGGACCUAAUUCACAGACGUUUAAGACAUCCAAGCUUAUCCAAGCUUCAGAAUAUGAUACCUAGUUUGUCUAGUUUAUCCACAUUAGAGUGUAAGUCAUGUCCGCUCGGGAAACAUACCCGAGCCUCCUUUCUUCGUAGUAUUGAGAGUCAUGCAGAGUCUGUCUAUUUUUUAGUUCAUUAUGAUAUAUGGGGUCCUAGUAGAGUCAGUUCAACCUUGGGGUUUCGUUAUUUUGUUAGUUUCAUUGAUGAUCAUUCAAGAUGUACUUGGAUUUUCUUAAUGAAAGAUCGUUUUGAGUUUUUUUUAUCUUCCAGAAUUUUUGUGCUGAAAUUAAAAAUCAAUUUGGUGCUUCUAUUCGUACUUUUCGCAGUGAUAAUGCCUUAGAAUAUUUAUCCUCUUCAUUUCAACAGUUUAUGACUUCUCAAGG
rnacentral:lncRNA from 1 species